rnacentral:rRNA from 1 species
AGUGAACGCUGGCGGUAGGCCUAACACAUGCAAGUCGAACGGCAACGCAGUAAGAGCGUGCUCUGACUGGUGGCGGGGGGCGUACGAGGGAGGUAAACAUCGCAAUCUACUUUGUCGAGGGGGAGAACGUAGGGAAACUUCCGCUAAUACCGCAUAGGACCUACGGGUGAAAGCAAGGGAUCUUCGGACCUUGCGCGAUCUAAUGAGCCGAGGUCUGGUUGGCUAGUUGGCGGGGUAAAGGCCCAGCAAGGCGUCGAUCCGUAGCUGGUGUGAGCGGAUGAACCGCGCCAGUGGAGCUGAGCCACGGUACAGACUCCUACGGGAGGCAGCAGUGGCGAAUAGUGGACAAUGGGCGGAAGCCUGAUCCAGCCGUGCCGGGUGGGUGAAGCAGGGCCGCGUGUUGUAUAACGGCUUUGUUGGUGAAGACCGGCAGCAGGUUAAUACCCGGUUGUUCUGACGGUACCCAAAGAAUAAGCACCGGCUAACUUCGUG